CGCCUUGCCAGCCCGCUCAGAACUUAAAGGAAUUGACGGGGGCCGCACAAGCGGUGGAGUAUGUGGUUUAAUUCGAUGCAACGCGAAGAACCUUACCUGGUCUUGACAUCCCGGAGACCCUUAGGAAACUAGGGGGUGCUUCCAUCUGGAAGAAUCUGGAGACAGGUGCUGCAUGGCUGUCGUCAGCUCGUGUCGUGAGAUGUUGGGUUAAGUCCCGCAACGAGCGCAACCCUUGCCUUUAGUUGCCAGCAGUUCGGCUGGGCACUCUAAAGGGACUGCCGGUGUUAAACCGGAGGAAGGUGGGGAUGACGUCAAGUCCUCAUGGCCUUUAUGACCAGGGCUACACACGUACUACAAUGGCCGAUACAAAGGGCAGCGACACUGCGAGGUGAAGCCAAUCCCGUAAAAUCGGUCUCAGUCCGGAUUGGAGUCUGCAACUCGACUCCAUGAAGUUGGAAUCGCUAGUAAUCGUGGAUCAGCAUGCCACGGUGAAUACGUUCCCGGGCCUU
rnacentral:rRNA from 1 species